rnacentral:lncRNA from 8 species
UUAAUUACUCUCAAAAAUGAACAUACAAAAUAACAAAACACGAAAAAACGAACACUCGACAAAUAAACAGUCUGGUAAGGCACAAGGCUAUACACAGAAUAAUCACCCACAAAUAACACAUACAAACACACCCUAAUAUAUGGGACUCUCAAUCAAAGGCAGAUAGACAACACCUGCCUUCAACUGAGAGUCCCAACCCCAAUCAACCAAACAUAGAAACACACACACUAGACUAACCAUAGAAUUAACUAAACAUAAACCAAAACCCGGAAAUACUAAAUCAAACACCCUUUACACAAACACAACACCCCGAACCACAUAAAACAAAUACCCUCUGCCACGUCCUGACCAAACUACAAAAACAAUUAACCUUAUACUGGCCAGGACGUGACAGUACCCCCCCCUUAAAGGUGCUACCCCAGAAGCACCUUAACAAAAAAUAACCCCAAGCAACACCAAAAAAAAAUCCCCUUUUCAAAAGGGAGGGAAGGGAGGGUGUCUGCUGUCAACGACGGCACUGUGCUACACCCCCCCUCCCCAACCCACCUAUUUCUGGAGGUGGCUCUGGUUCCGGCCGUUCCAGGCUGUCGGGCCACUCUGGCAUCGCCGAGGGGCAGUCGGGCCAGUCUGGCAUCGCCGGGGGGCAGUCGGGGCAGUCUGGCAAUUCGGGACAGUCUGGGCAGUCUGGCAAUUCGGGACAGUCUGGGCAGUCUGGCAAUUCGGGACAGUCUGGGCAGUCUGGCAAUUCGGGCCACUCCGGCAGUUCAGGGCAGUCUGGCCACUCCGGCAGUUCAGGGCAGUCUGGCCACUCCGGCAGUUCAGGGCAGUCUGGCCACUCCGGCAGUUCAGGGCAGUCUGGCCACUCCGGCAGUUCAGGGCAGUCUGGCCACUCCGGCAGUUCAGGGCAGUCUGGCCACUCCGGCAGUUCAGCGCAGUCUGGCCACUCCGGCAGUUCAGCGCAGUCUGGCCACUCCGGCAGUUCAGGGCAGUCUGGCCACUCCGGCAGUUCAGGGCAGUCUGGCCACUCCGGCAGUUCAGGGCAGUCUGGCCACUCCGGCAGUUCAGGGCAGUCUGGCCACUCCGGCAGUUCAGGGCAGUCUGGCCACUCCGGCAGUUCAGGGCAGUCUGGCCACUCCGGCAGUUCAGGGCAGUCUGGCCACUCCGGCAGUUCAGCGCAGUCUGGCCACUCCGGCAGUUCAGCGCAGUCUGGCCACUCCGGCAGUUCAGCGCAGUCUGGCCACUCCGGCAGUUCAGCGCAGUCUGACCUCUCUGGCGACUGUUGACUGGCGGGCAGCUCUGACGACUGUUGACUGGCGGGCAGCUCUGACGAUGACUGUCGACUGGCGGGCAGCUCUGAC